GACGAACGCUGGCGGCGUGCCUAAUACAUGCAAGUCGAACGGUGGAGGAGGAGCUUGCUUCUCUGGAUGAGUUGCGAACGGGUGAGUAACGCGUAGGUAACCUGCCUGGUAGCGGGGGAUAACUAUUGGAAACGAUAGCUAAUACCGCAUAAUAGCAGUUGUUGCAUGACAACUGUUUGAAAGGUGCAAAUGCAUCACUAGCACAUGGAGCUGCGUUGUAUUAGCUAGUUGGUGGGGUAAAGGCUCACUAAGGCGACGAUACAGAGCCGACCUGAGAGGGGGAGCGGCCACACUGGGACUGAGACACGGCCCAUAGGCCUACGGGAGGCAGCAGUAGGGAAUCGGCGGCAAUGGACGGAAGUCUGAGCGAGCUACGCCGCGUGAUUAAAGAAGGUCUUCGGAUCGGAAAUCUCUGUUGUAAGGGAAGAACGAGUGUUAGAGUGUAAAGUUCACACUGUGACGGUAUCUUACCAGAAAGGGACGGCUAACUACGUG
rnacentral:rRNA from 1 species